rnacentral:rRNA from 1 species
GCUAACGCUAGCUCCAACCAUAAUAAAUACUAAUAUCAAAUUCACAUAUAUGCCAAACCAUUAACCCAUACAAAGUAUAGGCGAUAGAAAUUUUACUUGGCGCUAUAGAUACAGUACCGUAAGGGAAAGAUAAGAUAAACCACCCAAGCACAAAACAGCAAGGACUAACCCCUGUACCUUUUGCAUAAUGAAUUAGCUAGAGACAAUUUCACAAAGAGAACUAAAGCCAAAUCCCCCGAAACCAGACGAGCUACCCAAAAACAGCUAAAAGAGCACACCCGUCUAUGUGGCAAAAUAGUGGGAAGAUUUCUGGGUAGAGGUGACAAGCCUACCGAGCCUGGUGAUAGCUGGUUAUCCAAGAUAGAAUCUUAGUUCAACCUUAAGUUUACCCAUAGAAUAACCUAAUCCCCCUGUAAACUUAAUUGUUAGUCUAAAGAGGGACAGCUCUUUAGACACUAGGAAAAAACCUUACAUAGAGAGUAAAAGAACCCCCUUACCAUAGUUGGCCUAAAAGCAGCCAUCAAUUAAGAAAGCGUUCAAGCUCAACAUUAAUCACCUAAAAAAUCCCAAACACAUUAUUGAGCUCCUCAAACCACAUUGGAUCAAUCUAUCACCCUAUAGAAGCAAUAAUGCUAGUAUAAGUAACAUGAACUCUCUCUCCCCACCGCAUAAGCCUAAAUCAGACCGAAAACCUCACUGAUACUUAACAGCCCAGUACUAACAAACAUAAACAAGCCCGUACUACUUUACUGUUAAUCCAACACAGGCAUGCUCUUAAGGAAAGGUUAAAAAAAGUAAAAGGAACUCGGCAAACUUAACCCCGCCUGUUUACCAAAAACAUCACCUUUAGCAUCACUAGUAUUAAAGGCACUGCCUGCCCAGUGACAUACGUUCAACGGCCGCGGUACCCUGACCGUGCAAAGGUAGCAUAAUCACUUGUUCUUUAAAUAGGGACUCGCAUGAAUGGCAACACGAGGGUUUAACUGUCUCUUAUUUUUAACCAGUGAAAUUAACCUAUCCGUGAAGAGGCGGAUAUGAGAUAAUAAGACGAGAAGACCCUAUGGAGCUUUAAUUUACCAAUGCAACUAAAAAUCACAUAAAUCCACGGACUCUAAAACUUCUACACCUGCAUUAAAAAUUUUGGUUGGGGCGGCCUCGGAGCAUAAACAAACCUCCGAAUGAUUCAUGCUGAGACCUUACAAGCCAAAGCAAACCAAUACCCACAAUUGACCCAAUAACUUGAUCAACGGAACAAGUUACCCUAGGGAUAACAGCGCAAUUCUAUUCUAGAGUCCAUAUCAACAAUAGAGUUUACGACCUCGAUGUUGGAUCAGGACAUCCUAAUGGUGCAGCAGCUAUCAAGGGUUCGUUUGUUCAACGAUUAAAGUCCUACGUGAUCUGAGUUCAGACCGGAGCAAUCCAGGUCGGUUUCUAUCUAUUCUAUAUUUCUCCCUGUACGAAAGGACAAGAGAAAUAAGGCCCACUUCACAAAGCGCCUUCAUCACAUAAGUGACCUAGUCUUAACUUACCAAAAUAUUAUACAACCCGCCCGAGAACAGGGUUU